CCCUCCGAAUUUAAGCACAUUAAUGAGGGGAGGAAAAGAAACAAACAAGGAUUUUCUUCGUGGCGGCGAGCGAAAAGAAAAGAGUUCAGUACUAAAUCACUUUCUCUUUAAUAGCAAAUGUGUGUGCAAUGUUCAAUUCUAGUAUGAGAAAUAAUAAUGAGGCCAUUUACCCAAAGAGAGUGCUAAGACCGUAUAAUGUUAAUGAUUACUAGAGAACAAUUCCAAAGAGUCGUGUUGCUUGAUGGCGCAGCACUAAGAGGGUGAUAAACUCGAUCUAAAACAUGAGACCGAUAGUAAAUGAGUACCGUGAGAGAAAGUUGAAAAGAACUCUGAAUAGAGAGUUAAAUAGUACGUGAAACUGCUUAGAGGUUAAGCCCGAUGAACCCGAAUAUCCAUUAUGAAAAAUUCAUCAUUAUGAAUUAUAAUAUGUAUAAUAAAUAAAUAUUAUACUUUGUUAUCCAUUAACAUUAAAAUUUAUCAUAAAAUCAUUAGUUUUGAAGUUUAUUCAAAUUAUUAUGCUUGUAUUUUAACACAGAAUAAUUAAUAAUGAUUUGAUAAAUUGUUGAUAGAUUUAUAAUUAUAUAAUGCUUAAAUAUAUUUAUAUAUUU
rnacentral:ncRNA from 1 species